UCCUGCUGCUCCAAGUUACUCACCCAACAGGUCUGUCAGUGGGAAGAAGCUUUGUUCAACCUGUGGUCUUCCUCUUGGAAAAGGAGCUGCCAUGAUUAUUGAAACGCUCGGUCUGUACUUCCAUAUUCAGUGCUUCAGGUGUGGCAUUUGCAAGGGACAGCUGGGAGAUGCAGCAAGUGGGACAGACGUCAGGAUUAGGAACGGUCUUUUGAACUGUAAUGAUUGCUACAUCCGAUCCAGAACUGCUGGGCAGCCGACUACUUUGUGACAUGACUUUCAGUCUAAUGACUUGCAAGAAGGAACUCUCUCCUCGUGUGUCUCGGCUGCCUCCAGACAAUCACUUGUUAGAGCUUGGAACCACGGACGUCGUAGCUCUCAUCUCAUUUUGAAAAGCUCAUGCAAAAAGGCUACAUCUGCUCCUUUAAAACACAGUAUGUUUUUUCCCGCCUUUCUUAAGAAAUUUGCAAAAUAUGUAUGAUGGUAUCUGGUAAGGUAUAGCCUAAGUACUAUAAAAAAAAUCCCACCUUUUCAGGUAUGUUUAUGAUAUCCAGUCUGUUACUUGGUUCUUUUAAAGGUAAUAAGAAAAUUAAAAUGCAAUAAACUUGUUUUAAUAUUUCUAGGAAUUAAAGUUUUAAGUUUACAGAGCCUUUAUAGAAUAUGCCAACUGGAGAUGAGAAGUGAUUUUAAGAUAGUAUCUAAUCAGUGCAUUUGAGAAAACUAAACACCACAGCACAUGACUUCUCUGUUAUAACUGAAGCUAUAACUUUUUUUUUAUACAGAGACUAGUUUGAUAAUACAUCCUGUAAUUCUGAAACAUUUUAUGUUUAUAUUACCUUCAGUGGAGGGUAGGAGUUAUACAAAUAAAUUAUUGCACCUUUAGUGAUAGGAAUUUUUGUUUGUGUACCUCAUGUAAUGUUCAUGACUAUAGCUUAAUAUUCUGUCAAAUAAAGAUUUCUUCAUUAAAUCUAAAGACUCUAUACCAUUAACGACUGCGGGAUUCCCGUUAGGAGCACUCCUUCACCAU